rnacentral:rRNA from 1 species
UGCUUUACACAUGCAAGUCGAACGGGCUUAAAGAGCUUGCUAUUUAAGAUUAGUGGCGAACGGGUGAGUAAUAUAUCGGAACGUACCUUGUAAUGGGGGAUAACUAGUCGAAAGAUUAGCUAAUACCGCAUACGCCCUGAGGGGGAAAGUAGGGGAUCUUCGGACCUUACGUUAUAAGAGCGGCCGAUAUCUGAUUAGCUAGUUGGUGGGGUAAUGGCCUACCAAGGCGACGAUCAGUAGCUGGUCUGAGAGGACGACCAGCCACACUGGAACUGAGACACGGUCCAGACUCCUACGGGAGGCAGCAGUGGGGAAUUUUGGACAAUGGGCGCAAGCUGAUCCAGCCAUUCCGCGUGAGUGAAGAAGGCCUUCGGGUUGUAAAGCUCUUUCGCAAGGGAAGAAAACUUACACAACAACACUGUGUGAGGCUGACGGUACCUUGAUAAGAAGCACCGGCUAACUACGU